UCCAAGUCGCUGUGGGAGAGCUCUAUUGAACCGGGUGUCCGAAUCAUCGAUUCCCGUUCCACCUAGCCGACCAGAGGCAAUUUUGAGAGGCUCACUGUCCGUGAUCCAACAAAGUCCUAGAAGGAUGGCACAGACUGGCUUUUCCAGCUGCUUCGGGGCAGGAAAACUUCCUGGCCAGUAAACAGCGGACGGUGGAUUCCUCAGGAGACGAAUCCUGUAUCUGUGGAAAUAUGAGCGACGCGUCAAAUCCCACCUUGUCUUUACUGUAGCUGUUCUCACCACGUGGAGUGCCUUUUCCAUCCUCAGUUCCACGAAUGGAAAACUGUUCUCCGAGGCUCUACUCAAAUACCACGUCCUCCAAGGAAUCGCUGCCAGGCCGCCUAGCCCGGAAGUCCUCUUCCUCUGAACUUGCUCCAGGUCAGAACAGUCGUUGACAUUGAUCCUGACCUGGCGGGAGCACACGUCGCACACUGGGCAGCUUUAUGAGAGCAGAGGUUGUGAGAGCCGAUUCUGAUCUCAGAACGGAGUUGGGAGAGACUGGCCUCAACUGGAAAGGACGGCUGGAAGGCACUGGGACUGAGGAUAACGCCCUGGGAAACGGGUAGACACGGCACGAAUAGGGAUUACGUGGAGGGUGGCCUCGUGGAACCCAGCGACAGCAGAAGGAGAGGGUGCCCCAGGCCCUGGAGAAAGGGUUCGGAGGAGAGGGAGGCGGGGCUCUUGGGGGAGAGCGGAAAUGCUGCGC